UGGCUGGGUUCUUCUGCAGGGGUCAGAAACUGGGGGAAGGGAAGAGAAGGCCCUGGGCUCGAGAGGUUGAGGGGAGUGACGGGCGAGAUAUGCAAAGAGGUGCCAGGAUGCCAGCCACAUGGACUCUGUGACAGGUACCCGCAUGCCGAGCCAGCCCAAGACCAACAGGCACCUUGUAUGCCACUGGGCACCAGUAAGCCAUUCCUGCUGAGUGUCUUUGGAACCUGACACACCUAUCAUGGCCGUCAGAAAAAGCAACUCUUCUCCACGUGGCUGAAUCAAGACUAUGUUACACUCUUAAGCAUUGAGUGACCUCCGAAGGUCACACCCUGAAAUCUAACCACCAACAUGAAGCAGCCAUUCCCAGCCCUGCCAAGAAGAGACUUCAGGAGAGGCAGCACAUUCAUCCUGUGCCCCUCCCCCACUUCUCCCAAGCCACCUUCUUCAAGGCAAGUCUGUCUCUCCACAAAAAACGAGGGACCAUUAAGGCAGACCUGAGUUACGAGUGAUGGUGACACACCAGAACAAAAACAUGGAUUUUUAGGAUGGGCAUAGUGCACGCCUAUAAUCCUAGCACUUGGGAGGUGGAGGCAGGAGGAUCAGGAGCUUAAGAUGAGUUUGAGUUGGAGCUACAUGAGACCUUUCCUCAAAACAAAACAAAACUUCACAGAAAUUACUAUUUUGAGCUGGGGGUAACAGCAAUAUGCCUGCAAUCCAGUACUUGGGACAGCGAGGAAGGCAAGAGGUUAGCAAACUGAGACCACCCUGGGUUACAACCAUGGAGAGAGCGAGCUGGAGAGAUCAAGAAAGACAUCCGGAAGUGUGUGACACACUUUCUGUCACUCCCAUUUUCACACUCAGUCACACUCAUGUUGGCACACUGUUUUUAAAAAUCAACAAAAGGAAAGAACCCAAGGAAACACUCCA